ACCAAAAAGAAAAAAGAAAAAUCUGUUUCAGCUUUUCUUCCAAACUCUCUCACGCCAUUCACACUGUUUCUCCCAAACGCUCUCCAAACACUUUCACGCUUUCUUCCGAUUCACGAACGCAACAACCAUCGUCGUCCUCCCCGAUCGUCCGUCAAGCUCGGCCAUUGUGAAGCAACCUUCGCCGUCGUCCCUCUAUCACCACAUCGCAACAGAGCGACCACUGUUCCAUCUCCAACGCAGCCACACUCCACGCCUCGCCAUUGUGCUUGCAAGUUGCAAUGCUCCUUCCUCUGCUUCCAGAUCCAGCAAAUUCUCGUUCAUGAUACUCACCGGAGAAGAAACCCUAGAUCCGCGAUGCUCCAUGGCCGACACCUCCAGGAUUCCACUCCGGCUACAACCAGGUGGCGCAACAAGGUAGGUAGUCAGUGGAUUUGGUUUCGUUCGAUUUGGAGUUCAAAUCACCCAAUCAAGCUCGAGAGGUUGCGUUUCUUGCCCUUCUUCUUCUGAUUUGAUCUUGUUUCUUUGUUUCUUACUCGCAUGUACACUGAAUUGGAAAUUGCGGUGUCGGAGAUAGGAAUUGUAGGGCUAAAUCGUAUGCUCAGCUUUGGUUUCACAGGUGACCCAGGAGGACUUUGACAGGGCACUAAUACCCACCAUUCACUAAUUUCAAAAAACUUCCAGCACACAUAGCUGCUAAGGCCUAUGAGCUUGGCUUGGCUAAAGUGGUGUUUUAUUCGAGCUCCACUUGCUUAGGUAAGUUUAUUCCACUUCCGCAUUAUUCUACAAAUUUUCUAUUAUGAUAAAGGUGUGUUCAACAUAAAUGGGAUACUGCAAAACUUAAAGGAAGUAUUCUGGAUGCUCAUGCUCAAGUUUUGAAUUAAAAACUAUUUUUGACUUCUAUGUUUGUAAUUCACUUUCAUGUGCAGUUUCGAACAUGAGUACCACUACCUCAUGGUGCAGUUUCAAAUUCACUUUCAGUUUAUAAUUUUUCUAGUCUUAUACUUUUAUCACCCUGUUUCCCUCAUUUGGUCUUCAUGUACAUGUUUCUCAUAAAUUUGCAUCCAUUUGGAAAGAGUCCUGCAAUUCCAGAUGGUAUUGAUUUUUUUCUGAUGAAGCUUCAUUCAUGAUGCAGAUAAUAGAGUUGGCAUUUAAGAGAGUUCUAAUGUCUUUGAUUUUCUGAAAGAUAUUGUCAGCAAGGUUCCUGAUUUAGGCUGGUUUGUUCCAACUGGGGAAGUACUGUCACAAAGAGGAUGUAUAUUCAUCUAAGUCUCAUGUUGCAAUGAGUCUUACUCCAGCUAGUGUUUGCAGUUUACAACUUUGGAAGCUGGAACAAAUAUAUACAUUUCCUAUCAUGUUCAUGGCUUCAUGCCCAUUUGCUAGUGUGCUAGCAUGUGAAAUCUUGAUGCAUACUCAGAAUUUAGUAAAGAUGUUUCAUAUUUGAGACAUGGAAAAACAGUAAAUUGUAAUUUUUUUUUUUCUGAUGAGUGACAGAACCACCUUUGAAGAGUGGUCUUGCAAUUAUGUAUAACAUAAUCUUGCUCAUGCUUAUUAAUAUUCAUUAUGUUCCUUUUA